rnacentral:tRNA from 1 species
CAAAUUAUAGCUUAAUUAGAGUUUUUUAUUUACAUUAAAAAGGUAAUUUAUAUUUAAUUUGA